UACGUAGGGGGCUAGCGUUGUCCGGAAUCAUUGGGCGUAAAGAGCGCGUAGGCGGCCAGAUAAGUCCGGUGUGAAAGUCACAGGCUCAACCUGUGAAUGCCGCUGGAAACUGUCUGGCUAGAGUCCGGAAGGGGCGAGUGGAAUUCCUGGUGUAGCGGUGAAAUGCGCAGAUAUCAGGAGGAACACCAAUGGCGAAGGCAGCUCGCUGGAACGGUACUGACGCUGUGGCGCGAAAGCGUGGGGAGCGAACAGG
rnacentral:rRNA from 1 species